rnacentral:rRNA from 1 species
CAUGCAAGUCGAACGGGGUAAUUCCUUCGGGGGAUUACUUAGUGGCGAACGGGUGAGUAACGCGUGAGAAACCUGCCUUUCAUGGGGGACAACAGUUGGAAACGACUGCUAAUACCGCAUAAUGUAUCGAGGGGGCAUCCCCAUGAUACCAAAGGUAUUUAUUGCUGAAAGAUGGUCUCGCGUCUGAUUAGGCUAGUUGCGGGGUAACGGCCCACCAAGGGCGACGAUCAGUAGCCGGUCUGAGAGGAUGAACGGCCACAUUGGGACUGAGAUACGGCCCAGACUCCUACGGGAGGCAGCAGUGGGGAAUAUUGGGCAAUGGGCGAAAGCCUGACCCAGCAACGCCGCGUGAAGGAAGAAAGGUCUUCGGAUUGUAAACUUCUUUUAAUAAGGGAAGAAAAUGACUGUACCUUAUGAAUAAGCCACGGCUAACUACGUG